CCUACGGGACGCAGCAGUGGGGAAUAUUGCACAAUGGGGGAAACCCUGAUGCAGCAACGCCGCGUGAGUGAUGACGGCCUUCGGGUUGUAAAGCUCUGUCUUCAGGGACGAUAAUGACGGUACCUGAGGAGGAAGCCACGGCUAACUACGUGCCAGCAGCCGCGGUAAUACGUAGGUGGCGAGCGUUGUCCGGAUUUACUGGGCGUAAAGGGAGUGUAGGCGGAUAUGUAAGAUAGCGGUGAAAUGCCGGGGCUCAACCCCGGAACUGCCAUUAUGACUAUGUAUCUAGAGUAAUGGAGAGGAUA
rnacentral:rRNA from 1 species